rnacentral:rRNA from 1 species
AAAUGAAUAGACGGGGACCCGCACAAGCAGUGGAGUAUGUGGUUUAAUUCGACGCAACGCGAAGAACCUUACCAGGGCUUGACAUCCCUCGCUAUCCCUCGAGAUAGGGAGUUCCCUUCGGGGACGAGGAGACAGGUGGUGCAUGGUUGUCGUCAGCUCGUGUCGUGAGAUGUUCGGUUAAGUCCGGCAACGAGCGCAACCCCUGUUGUCUGUUACUACCAUUCAGUUGAGGACUCAGACGAGACUGCCGUUAAUAAAGCGGAGGAAGGUGGGGACGACGUCAAAUCAUCAUGCCCCUUAUGUCCUGGGCUACACACGUACUACAAUGGCUACCACAGAGGGCAGCGACGCCGCGAGGCCGAGCGAAUCCCUAAAGGUAGUCCCAGUUCGGAUUGCAGGCUGCAACUCGCCUGCAUGAAGUCGGAAUUGCUAGUAAUGGCAGGUCAGCAUACUGCCGUGAAUACGUUCCCGGGUCUUGUACACACCGCCCGU